rnacentral:rRNA from 1 species
CGCGUAGGCGGCUUGGCAAGUCCGGGGUGAAAGCCCCCAGCUCAACUGGGGAAGUGCCUUGGAUACUGCCGAGCUCGAGCGAGAUAGGGGUCGUGGGAACUUCCGGUGGAGCGGUGAAAUGCGUUGAUAUCGGAAGGAACGCCGGUGGCGAAAGCGCACGACUGGAUCUCUUCUGACGCUGAGGCGCGAAAGCGUGGGGAGCAAACA